AGUGAACGCUGGCGGCGUGCUUAACACAUGCAAGUCGAACGAGAACGGAUUAUAGCUUGCUAUAAUUGUCAGCUAAGUGGCGCACGGGUGAGUAAUGUAUAGGUAAUAUGCCUCUUACUAAGGGAUAACAAAUGGAAACGUUUGCUAAUACCUUAUACUCCUUAUUAACAGAAGUUAAUAAGGGAAAGAUUUAUUGGUAAGAGAUUAGCCUGUAUUGUAUCAGUUAGUUGGUGGGGUAAUGGCUUACCAAGACUAUGACACAUAACUGGUUUGAGAGGAUGAUCAGUCACACUGGAACUGAGACACGGUCCAGACUCCUACGGGAGGCAGCAGUGGGGAAUAUUGCACAAUGGACGAAAGUCUGAUGCAGCAACGCCGCGUGGAGGAUGACACAUUUCGGUGCGUAAACUCCUUUUAUAUGAGAAGAUAAUGACGGUAUUAUAUGAAUAAGCACCGGCUAAUUCCGUGCCAGCCGCCGCGGUAAGAC
rnacentral:rRNA from 1 species